UACGUAGGGGCCUAGCGUUGUCCGGAUUUAUUGGGCGUAAAGAGCUCGUAGGCGGUUCGGCAAGUCGGAUGUGAAAUCUCCACGCUUAACGUGGAGGGGCCAUUCGAAACUGCCGUGACUCGAGUCCGGUAGGGGAGUGUGGAAUUCCCGGUGUAGCGGUGAAAUGCGCAGAUAUCGGGAGGAACACCAAUUGCGAAGGCAGCUCGCUGGGACGUUACUGACGCUGAGACGCGAAAGCGUGGGGAGCAAACAGG
rnacentral:rRNA from 1 species